UGGGUAACCUCAGAUCAGGUAGG
rnacentral:rRNA from 1 species